GGUCGACAUCAGGACAGUGUUUGGCUACAACGUCGCUUUCCACACAAGUCAUUGUGUCUAGACGUAUAGACGUAUAUACAGACCACCCGAUCCACUCCUAUUCCUGACAUGGCCUACUAAAAGGAUCCCGCAAGUGGGACGAGCUCCACCCGUGACGAGCUACGCUGAGGCCUUGUCCGCUGGUUAGCCCGGCUCUCUGUGUCCAACGCGAACACAGAAACCGUCAAAGUAGAGGAAUGGGUAUUUGUAUCUAUGUUCAGAAUGACUGGUCAAAUAAUAGCAUAGUUUUGGACGACCACUGUUAUUCGGUGUAGGAUAAAAUUUGAGGAAUGAAUAAGGGUGUCGAGCCUGCACCCUUGUAACCAUUUCAUACAAAGUGGACAUGAAUCACUAGAUGCAUUAAGGCUAAUUUACAACAUUGAGCCGUACUCUAAAAAAUGUGACUUAAUACUGUGAGGCUGGAUUUAAUAAAUAAAUGUUUGUGUCAGUAUCGAAUAUGACGUAAUAGGGCUUGUUGGUGCUGCCGUAAAACGCAAACGCAACAUGCAAAGAGUAAAGUGAAUCUGAUGAGUGUUAAAAACGAAGUGUCCACUGCGCGCUUCGAGCUAACCAAUCAACAGUCGGCAGUCGCUUACGAAAUCUGAAGCGUACGCCACUCCUCUGGCUCUUGUUCGCGGAAGGAUACAUCAUAUUAAUUCUGGUACACAGAAACGGUAACUCGGUGAAAAAAAUCUAAGAGCAGAAAAACAUCACAGCUGAAACUGGACAAAAUGUCACUCUGACAUGUCGAGCUCCAAGCAAUAAUAUAAUAGUUGUUGAGUGGAGCAGAGCUGACCUGAAGACAGAGCA